AAUCCAUAGGUUAAUGAGGCGAACCGGGGGAACUGAAACAUCUAAGUACCCCGAGGAAAAGAAAUCAACCGAGAUUCCCCCAGUAGCGGCGAGCGAACGGGGAGGAGCCCAGAGCCUGAAUCAGCAUGUGUGUUAGUGGAAGCGUCUGGAAAGGCGCGCGAUACAGGGUGACAGCCCCGUACACAAAAGCGCAUGUGCUGUGAGCUCGAUGAGUAGGGCGGGACACGUGGUAUCCUGUCUGAAUAUGGGGGGACCAUCCUCCAAGGCUAAAUACUCCUGACUGACCGAUAGUGAACCAGUACCGUGAGGGAAAGGCGAAAAGAACCCCGGCGAGGGGAGUGAAAAAGAACCUGAAACCGUGUACGUACAAGCAGUGGGAGCACAGGUUUACCUGUGUGACUGCGUACCUUUUGUAUAAUGGGUCAGCGACUUAUAUUCUGUAGCAAGGUUAACCGUAUAGGGGAGCCGGAGGGAAACCGAGUCUUAAUUGGGCGUUAAGUUGCAGGGUAUAGACCCGAAACCCGGUGAUCUAGCCAUGGGCAGGUUGAAGGUUGGGUAACACUAACUGGAGGACCGAACCGACUAAUGUUGAAAAAUUAGCGGAUGACCUGUGGCUGGGGGUGAAAGGCCAAUCAAACCGGGAGAUAGCUGGUUCUCCCCGAAAGCUAUUUAGGUAGCGCCUCGUGAAUUCAUCUCCGGGGGUAGAGCACUGUUUCGGCUAGGGGGCCAUCCCGGCUUACCAACCCGAUGCAAACUGCGAAUACCGGAGAAUGUUAUCACGGGAGACACACGGCGGGUGCUAACGUCCGUCGUGAAGAGGGAAACAACCCAGACCGCCAGCUAAGGUCCCAAAGUCAUGGUUAAGUGGGAAACGAUGUGGGAAGGCCCAGACAGCCAGGAUGUUGGCUUAGAAGCAGCCAUCAUUUAAAGAAAGCGUAAUAGCUCACUGGUCGAGUCGGCCUGCGCGGAAGAUGUAACGGGGCUAAACCAUGCACCGAAGCUGCGGCAGCGAACGUAUCACCCAAGACAACUUUACGGAGUUGACGAUUGACGGAGCGAAGCGACGUCAAAGCGUUCAUUAAAGUCGAGUUGGCUUAGGGAUACGUUCGUUGGGUAGGGGAGCGUUCUGUAAGCCUGUGAAGGUGUGUCGUGAGGCAUGCUGGAGGUAUCAGAAGUGCGAAUGCUGACAUAAGUAACGAUAAAGCGGGUGAAAAGCCCGCUCGCCG
rnacentral:rRNA from 1 species